GGACGUUCGCAGGUGCGUGGACUUCCAGUUGUCAACGGGAGGGCGCCUGAGUGGCAAUUGGGAUGUUAGUGCUGUCUGGCUCCAUGAUCAUGGUCAUCGAAUUUUCAGCACACAACCCUUCCCAUGUUCGCCUUGUGUCAUUUCGGCCCCGGCGUUCGAUUCUGGUUCUUGUGUUGCCCACCCGUUAAGUGGUAUUCAUGUGCCUCUCAUGACCCGUUCCAUCCAGGCCCCUUCUUGAGGUCGUUGGAGGAUUCAAAAGUGAUGCGUGUGAAGUGUUAGCUGUGAAUUGUGAUGGCUUGCGUUGUCACACGUGUCUAGUGUUCCCUUGAAUGCGGUGCAUGCGGCAAACGCGGGCUGAUGAGUCUGCCCCGUUGAGUCCCUUCAAUUUAUCGGUUCCCUUGAAUAACACUUUGCCGUGGUGUCGGUCUUGCUUAACCGUUUGCGGUGGCAACACUGGCACCUCGAGCAAAGUCGUUGAUG
rnacentral:misc_RNA from 1 species